rnacentral:rRNA from 1 species
UACGGAGGGGGCUAGCGUUGUUCGGAAUUACUGGGCGUAAAGCGCACGUAGGCGGCUUUGUAAGUUAGAGGUGAAAGCCCGGGGCUCAACUCCGGAAUUGCCUUUAAAACUGCAUCGCUCGAAUUGUGGAGAGGUAAGUGGAAUUCCGAGUGUAGAGGUGAAAUUCGUAGAUAUUCGGAAGAACACCAGUGGCGAAGGCGACUUACUGGACACAUAUUGACGCUGAGGUGCGAAAGCGUGGGGAGCAAACAGGG